ensembl:lncRNA
AAUACUUUUAGUUAACAAUAAUAACAUAUAAGGUUUUUACACAUAAUUCAAAUUGUUUAAAACAUCUCCGCUCCUCUACUUUUUUCCAGGUUAAGCAUCAUUAACUUCAGCAUCAAAAACCUUUCCCGGGAGCAGCAGCAAGCGUUUGGUCGAUGGUUCAGUCAGUCCAUGAGCUUGCAAAACAUGACAGCUGGCAGCUUAUCCUUUAUCAGAGACACUGGUAACCUAAUCGCCUAUCUGCCCUUCAAGAGCUUCCAGUACCUCUCACCUGCUCAGGUAACAGCCCCAGCACCUCACAAAGGUACCUGAACCCAUCUGGCUCCGGUUAACCCUCAGGCAGCUCAGCUGGAGAAAAUGCCAAUGCUUGCCACUGGUUCAUUGUAACAGACAUGACCUCGUAGUCUGUUUUCAAUGAAUAAACACAGAAACACAUGAAUUAAGAAUGGCUUUGUAGUGGACUGUGGUGCUAACACCAUAAUGAAAGGCUCUUCACUGCUGUCCAUAUGAACAGGACAUUUCAGAAUACACAAAUAAAUGUAAAAUGAAAUAUACAAUUUGGUAAACAAAUUAGGAUGUGUAGGAUUUACCUCGAAACAAUCAGAAAUUCCAAGUCAAUUUCACAAAUAAUUACAAAGCAAUAAAAACAGCAAUUAACGUUGAAUUAAACAUGAAAUUUUCAAAGUAGAAUGGCCAUACAAGUGUUUUCUUGUCAAAUUUACUCUAAUAAACUAUGUUUUAUUUAAAACUUAGAAAAAUCUGAUUUUAUAGUGUAGUCAUUCCAUUUUAAAAAUGACACUUUAAAUUCAUAUUUAAAAUGGCCAUUUGAUAGUUUGAAAUGACUAAUAAAUAGUCUUAAAUUAUCAGUUGACAUAUCAUGACUAAUUUUGUUUUGUUUUCUUAGCUGCUGGAUGGUUUGGAUGUCCUGAUGAGUAACCCGUUGGGUCUCCUUAAGCAGCAGUUCAUCGCUCAGAGUCUCAUUGGAACCUUCGGGAAUCUCACUGUCGACCAGAUCAGGAGGUUAGGUAAUCUGUCCUGUCUGGCUCACCCCAGCCAGCUGAUGGCAUAUGCAGGAACAGAAGCCUUCUCAGUGAUCCAGGACAACAUCAGGACGUGUGCGGUCCAGGGUUUUAGUGUUCCUAGCAAUAUGGUCAGUAAACAUGGUCCAGAUCAACUCAUCUCAUUUAUCGUUGUCACUUAUAUUCACCCUCUUCAUUAAAAAACAACCCCUACUUGAAAAAUAUCCC